GACGAACGCUGGCGGCGUGCCUAACACAUGCAAGUCGAACGGGGAUCAUAAAGGAAGUUUUCGGAUGGAAUUUAUGAUUCUAGUGGCGAAUGGGUGAGUAACGCGUGAACAACCUGCCUAAGAGAGGGGAAUAACACCUGGAAACAAGUGCUAAUACCGCAUGAGACCACGACCCGGCAUCGGGAUGAGGUCAAAGAUUUAUCGCUCUUAGAGGGGUUCGCGUCCCAUUAGGUAGUUGGUGAGAUAACAGCCCACCAAGCCGACGAUGGGUAGCCGAGCUGAGAGGCUGAUCGGCCACACUGGAACUGAGACACGGUCCAGACUCCUACGGGAGGCAGCAGUGGGGAAUAUUGGGCAAUGGGCGAAAGCCUGACCCAGCAACGCCGCGUGAGGGAAGAAGGCC
rnacentral:rRNA from 1 species